UACGUAGGGGGCAAGCGUUUGUCCGGAUUAUUGGGCGUAAAGAGCGUGUAGGCGGCCGUACAGGUCAGCUGUGAAAACUCGAGGCUCAACCUCGAGACGUCGGUUGAAACCGUACGGCUAGAGUCCGGAAGAGGAGAGUGGAAUUCCCGGUGUAGCGGUGAAAUGCGCAGAUAUCGGGAAGAACACCCGUGGCGAAGGCGGCUCUCUGGGACGGUACUGACGCUGAGACGCGAAAAGCGUGGGGGAGCGAACAGG
rnacentral:rRNA from 1 species